CUGAUGGGGGUGGAUGGCUGCAUGGCGAGCAGGUUCAAGCAGGCUAGUCUUGGACCAAUCUGUAUAUGUGGUGCUGAGCACCGUGUUCAGAAGUCGACACUUCAAACACAUAUGCUGUGCACAGUAAUGUUUCCUGCGUAUCCCUGUUCGUGACAACCUGUGAAGAGAAAUCCGCCUUGUGGUCUGCGGAAUGUCCCGAGAGCGUUUAGAGAAGGCGCGAACGACCAAGACGGAAAAGCAUGCUUUAGGUCGGUUUAACUUUAAAGAGGCAAUUACACUGUCGUCGCACGGCCGGUUCUCUACUAAGCAGACACACGUGACCCGAUUGGUUAGCCAUCGAGUUUUAUACAGAAAAUCUCGUAACGAUCUAAAUUGCACACGAAGCUAUUUUUCUAAGUCUUAGUUCAAAGCGAGAAAAGUUUGCAGUAUCAGCUUUAAAAACCAAAAUGCUUUUCAACUAAAUCGUAUGCGUAUUUUGCGGGCAACGUGUCAACUGAUGCAUAAAACUUGUUGAUGCUCCUGUAAGAUAAACAGCAAAUGCGAGAUUAAUGGACUAAUCGAGUCACUCGAUCGAGUCUCUGCUUCGGCUGCCUGUCAAUGCGAAGUGCUUCUCAACAAGACAACGAGAAGCUGAAGGAGCGAGAGAACCGUAAAAUCGAUUCUGCGACCAUCUUAUUUAUACGCGCUAUAUAUAUCAUAUGCAUUAUAUUUUUUCAAUCUUUUUAUUUUUUUAUUUUUGCCAAAAUGCUUGUUAAUAUUUACAAUCUACAUCUUUAUUUAUGA